AUGAACGCUGGCGGCGUGCCUAAUACAUGCAAGUCGAGCGAACAGAUAAGGAGCUUGCUCCUUUGACGUAGCGGCGGACGGGUGAGUAACACGUGGGUAACCUACCUAUAAGACUGGGAUAACUUCGGGAAACCGGAGCUAAUACCGGAUAACAUUUGGAACCGCAUGGUUCUAAAGUGAAAGAUGGUUUUGCUAUCACUUAUAGAUGGACCCGCGCCGUAUUAGCUAGUUGGUAAGGUAACGGCUUACCAAGGCGACGAUACGUAGCCGACCUGAGAGGGUGAUCGGCCACACUGGAACUGAGACACGGUCCAGACUCCUACGGGAGGCAGCAGUAGGGAAUCUUCCGCAAUGGGCGAAAGCCUGACGGAGCAACGCCGCGUGAGUGAUGAAGGGUUUCGGCUCGUAAAACUCUGUUAUUAGGGAAGAACAAACGUGUAAGUAACUGUGCACGUCUUGACGGUACCUAAUCAGAAAGCCACGGCUAACUACGUGCCAGCAGCCGCGGUAAUACGUAGGUGGCAAGCGUUAUCCGGAAUUAUUGGGCGUAAAGCGCGCGUAGGCGGUUUCUUAAGUCUGAUGUGAAAGCCCACGGCUCAACCGUGGAGGGUCAUUGGAAACUGGGAAACUUGAGUGCAGAAGAGGAAAGUGGAAUUCCAUGUGUAGCGGUGAAAUGCGCAGAGAUAUGGAGGAACACCAGUGGCGAAGGCGACUUUCUGGUCUGUAACUGACGCUGAUGUGCGAAAGCGUGGGGAUCAAACAGGAUUAGAUACCCUGGUAGUCCACGCCGUAAACGAUGAGUGCUAAGUGUUAGGGGGUUUCCGCCCCUUAGUGCUGCAGCUAACGCAUUAAGCACUCCGCCUGGGAGACGUCACCUUGU
rnacentral:rRNA from 2 species